GCCUCGUUGCGCGGUCUACGCAGGCGGGGCCAUCUGUACAGCAAGCCGCCCGUAACGACACGGGGUGGCACGGAUGAGGAGGU
rfam:Collinsella tanakaei YIT 12063 genomic scaffold supercont1.2, whole genome shotgun sequence.